rnacentral:lncRNA from 1 species
CUAGGGUUAAGUGUACGAUCCCUUUUGGGUGGGAUUUAAAAACAACACACAUUUCAGCUUGUGACAUAGUUGUGCUUAAUACCUAACUUGCAUACCACAGCUUUAAAGCUCCAGCAGUUGCCUAAAACGGGUUGAUACGAUCCUGAAACGCUGAAACCGCAGGCUGAAGGCACAGCUAUCAACCGGGAGGUAAAGCUCUGUUGGAUACUGAGGUCCCCCAGCUCAGAUGGCGCUUAGGAUUGCCUUGAUCCUGAGGGCACGUGUGUAAGGAAAUAAACGCCUUCGACCUAAUGGGACGUGCUGCCAGGACAAGCUCACGACAAACGUUUGCCCUGAAAUCCAAGGCGGUGAAUAAGGCGAAACACCUUCCAAAUCCAACUGAUUCCCAGCGGCCCACGUUAUUACCCGCGCUCUGGAGAAAAGUGAAACUGACAAGGACAGAACAGACCGAGCNAGGGUUUGGGAUGCGACGAGGCGCAGGCAGGCCGCUCAUCUCGCACCAGCACUCACAGCCCGUUUUUGCGUCUCGCUGCUGGGCGCAGCAGCCGACGACGGCAGCGGGAUAUUUCUAUGCUAAUGCCGCGCGGCCCACGCUCGUGUCUCUGCAGCCCUCGCCCANCCCGCCGCGACUCCGCGAGGAAAGACAAAAGCCCAGGAGUGCCAUAUGGAAAAGAAAACAGGGUUCCCGUGUCUUUCAGUGUUGGCCUUUCUUAUCUACAUAUGUGAUUGUACCCCGCGGAUUUCAGGGGCUUUUGCUGGUAUGUUUUGCCGGUUGCAUAUUUUCACGUAUAAAUGACUUUAAAAAGAAGACAGAAAGAAAAAAGCAAGUGAUAGUAACAAUAGCUGUACAGAAAAACGAAGCUCAGAAGGUGUUGCAUGCGUUGUAAAUUACAGCUGCUGAGUAAUUCCUUUUCCACACAGUCACUGAGUUAGAGGACCUAGAGGACGCCUGUUCACUUUUGUGUAUGACAAAUCAGAGAGGCAGUGUAGUGUAGUGGCUAGAGUAUCAGGCUAGGACCUAAGAGGUCUGGGUUCCAAUGUUGUUUGAUUAAGAAAGCUUGCUGGGUGACCUCAGGUGCUUUACUGCCUCUCACGCUAACCUACUUCAUGAAGCUCAUUGGAACUACCUCACAGGGCUGUUGUGAGGGUAAAUGGAGUGGGGGAGAGUAAUGUGCUCUGUGGAAGAAAGGCAGGAUACUGUAAAUGAGGAACCACUACAGCCGUCAUGGAAUCACAAAAAGCAGACCUUACUUCAUCUUUCAGCCUUAAACAGUGAAGGAGGGAGCUGGUAUAAUAUAUGGGUUAUUGUGCUGNCAAAUUAGUUGCAGAAGACCUGGGUUCAGUUCUUUACUCAAUAUUAAAAUUUACAAAGUGGCUUUAAGCCCAUCACUUAGUCUCUAGGAUUAAGUACUCUUCAGGGUUGUUGUGAAGGUUGAAUUCUCAUGAAGGUUUCUGUUGCUUCAUCUCAAAAAGAUAUCACAGAACUGGAAAAAAUUCAGAAAAGGACAAAUAAAAUCAUCAAAGAGUGUCA